rnacentral:rRNA from 1 species
AUUGAACGCUGGAGGCAGGCCUAACACAUGCAAGUCGAGCGGAGCGGCGGACGGGCGAGUAAUGCCUAGGAAUCUGCCUGUUAGUGGGGGAUACCGUCCGGAAACGGGCGCUAAUACCGCAUACUAUCAGACGAGCCUAGGCCUGAUUAGCUAGUUGGUGGGGUAAAGGCCUACCAAGGCGACGCUCCGUAACUGGUCUGAGUGGAUGAUCAGUCACACUGGAACUGAGACACGGUCCAGACUCCUACGGGAGGCAGGAGUGGGGAAGAUUGGACAAUGGGCGAAAGCCUAAUGCAGCCAUGCCGCGUGUGUGAAGAAGGUCUUCGGAUUGUAAAGCACAUUAAGUUGGGAGGCGAUACCAACAGAAGAAGCACCGGCUAACUUCGGGCCAGCAGCCGCGGUAAUUC